rnacentral:rRNA from 1 species
UACGGGGGGAGCAAGCGUUGUUCGGAUUUACUGGGCGUAAAGGGUGCGUAGGAGGUUGGCAAAGUCGGGUGUGAAAUCUCACCGCUUAACGGUGAAAUUGCGCUCGAUACUGGUUGACUAGAGUAUCGGAGGGGAAAGCGGAAUUCCUGGUGUAGCGGUGAAAUGCGUAGAUAUCAGGAGGAACACCAACGGCGAAGGCAGCUUUCUGGACGAUAACUGACUCUGAGGCACGAAGGCCAGGGGAGCGAACGGG